CGCCCCGGCCGUGCCCCGCUGUGCCCGCCCCCGGCCCGCCCCCGCGGCGGCGGAGCCGGCACAGGCACCGCCCCCGCCCGGCCCGGCCCGCCGGAGUGACGGCCGUGUUCGCUUUCCCCAGGGCUGGGGCGUCCGUAUUUAUAUCCACCGAUGAGAUCCCCUCUGAGCCUUCUCUGCUCCGAGCUGAAGGGUCCCAGACCUUGGAGACUUUCCUCAAGGAGAGAUGCUCCAGUCCCUUCAUCACCUUGGUGGCCCAUUGUUGGACUCUCUCCAACCUCCAAACCAGUGAAGAGCUGAUGAUAGAAGCACUGCCUAUAUUGAUCUGAAGGACAUGGAAUGGGGCAAAAGGAAUAGGGGAAGAUACUAUCACUGCAGUGGAGAAGAUCUGAUGGAGAAUGAAAAUGGGCAUCUUUUUAUUUCAAAGAAUACAGUUACAGAAAAAUUGAGAGAAGAAUUAAGCUUCUUAAUUAUGUUAUAAGCACACAGCUUCUUCUGGAAGCUAAUAUGGCAGAAGUAUUUUUUAAAAUAAACAAGAUGAAAUGAGGUUUCUUGGGAACAGCAAAAUAACAUGCUGGUAAAUCUCUUGGUUAAUUAUGAAAUGAAAAAGAUAACAAAAACCAAUAAGCUAGUAGUCUGAAGGUAUCUCUGGAACAGAUGAACAGUUACACAUAACAACUUUGGAGAAAGCUUGACGAGAUUAAAUUGGAAGAUUAUCAUGGCAUCCCUAUCAUUAAUGCCAUCUUCAUUACAUCAUCCUCAAAUCAAAGGAAAUGAGAAGGGAACAUCAAUAUGAGAUUUAGAAGAAAGAUACUCCUGGGGGAUCAAAUAUUUUAUAUUUGUCAGCUACUCAAGAAAAACAUGGAAAAUAAUAUUAAAUAUAUUUAUUUUGUAGAAUCGGGGGGGGGGGGGGAAGAAACACACCAUGACAUUCUGUAAAAUAGCCUUGGGUUUUGUUGAAAAGUUAGGAAUCUCAAAAUAUUUAAAUGAUAAAAUUAGAUGUUUGAAGCUGAAAAAUACACUAUAUAGAUAAAGAGGGAAAUCACCGUAUCAGUUUAGGAAUACUCUGGGAUGUUCUGUAUCUUCUUUAAAAUUACUACUUAAAAUGAUUUAAGAGAAGAUAAAAUUUUCAGAAUAUCAAGUACAGAAGAGUUCCACCAUCUCUUUAGACAUGUUAAUAACAUGGUUAUGAUACAAGAUAUUUAAGAUGUGGAAAAAAUAAUUAUUGGAUUUGAACAAAAGAAUUUAAGAUCAACAAGUAGAAGAAACUUAUUAUUGUACGCUGACAAAUUAUAUUAGCCACCAGCCUGUAAACAUAAAUAUCAGUAAGUUAAAACAAUUUAAAUGCCUACAAGCAUUAACUGAGAAUUUUUUGGGGACAGCGUAUAUUAAGGCCUGGGUGCAAAGACAGAAUGCUUCUAAUUAUUCUUCAGAUAAUUUCAGCACUAAAAAUUAAUUGUGAAAUACUUUCUAUAUAAAAGACACUUAAAAGUGUUGGUUUUUACAGAUGGAACAUUUGAGUAAGAAAGACAAUUCAAUGUAUUACAAAAUUAAGUACCUAUUUAUAUUUGGGUUAGUGAAUUUUGUUUUUCAUUAAAUUUAUAGGAACAUAAUUGUCAUUUGAAUUUUCCAUUCCUUCUUUGAAAAUACCUUGAAAUAAUAAUUAGGUUCAAAAGGAAGAAUACACUUAUGUGUCAUUUUCAUAGAAAAUAGGCUGGUUUCACUUUCCCUAAACAUUUUCCACUUUGAGUUUUUGAAGGAUCAUCACCUCUCAAGGACCACUGAAGAUUCAAUGUUGUUUAACAGAACUAAAAAUUUGAGACAGUCAUACCAACCAAAAAAAAAAAAGUUGCAGCGUGUAAUGCAAUGCUGUACAAUACUGAUGCAGCUGUUUUUCUUACUAAAGCAAUCUGAGGACUGAUGAACAUCGAAAUACUGAGUUGCAAAUUAUCCCUUUGAUAUUGUCACGGUUCAUUGAAGCUGAAAGAAGCUGUGCACUUCAAGGAGUGAAAUCUGUGCGGCGUCUUUUUUUUUCACCCUUUGAGCAUCUAACAUGAGGAUAUUUGCAGCCUGAAAGUUGUUAGUUUAUCAACUAGUUUUUAGACAUGACCUGCUUGAAAAUGCAGUGCUGUAACAAAAAGGGUAAAGAAGUAUAAGCAAACCCAGUCAAGUAAUUUGUGUUGCUCUUUUUCUCAGAAGUAUUUGCUGAUGAUAACCUUAGUCUUUUUGUGUGCAUAAAUUAUAUACAAAUGGGCAAUGGAAAGAGCACUUCCGGGCAUUUACAGAGCAGCCAGAGUAGGGGAAAGCCAGUACAGUGCUCAGGAGUGAUCCAGCUGGCAGCUGGCAUCUGGCAUGUGUCCUAGCCAUCAAGUUUCCUCCUGCUUUAAGGAAGAAGUCUUUGUCCUGUACUUAUUCAGUUAUUCAGGCCAAUAUAUUUUUAAAAAUAGAUCCUAAAAAUGUAUUUUUAAAAAUUAGGCCCGAAAUCCAUACAUUCAACUUAAGGAAAUCGAACUUUCUAAAUUAUUAGGCAUCUGGAAAUUUCCCCAUCAGCUGGCUGGACUACAUAUUAAGAAAUCAAACGUACCAAGGCUGUUCUCUGGAACUAAAGGCAAUUGUCAUGGAGCAGCCCCCACCCCCACAGCUAUGAGACUAGGCUGUCCAGAACAGGGUGCCCUGACCUAAAUUGCCUGUUGGGAACGGUCCCUUACCCAUGGCGUUACCCAAACCAUUCCUGGGAACUGUUAAAAAGCUGGCAAAGUCCAGACUUCUCCAAUGGAUUGUACUUGCAUAUUAAUGAUAUAAAGCAUUAAAUUAAAGUGCCUGAGUAUUCUCUCCAGUAUUUUUCAAUGGCUAUCACAGACAUGGCUAGUAAGUACUCCUAGGUGCUCAGGAUUUCUAAACACAGAGCCUAUUGUUUUAUUUUUUUUUUUUUUUUAACUAUUUCACUGUUCCUGUUUGGUAAAGAUUAGCCUAAGUCACUUUAUUAAUUUUCUAAUCUCAGUGAGAAAAAACCUUCCAUCAUAUCCUUCCCACUAGACUAGGAUGUUCUUUCCAGCUUUUCACCACCUCACUUUCUCAGAUAUGGGGUUAACAUUAGCCUGUGAAAGUUAAAAUUUAUGCAGUCCUUUGUGAAUUCGGUCUUGUUCCAUGUACUGUACUUUUUAGGCAGGCAGACCACAAUCCUCUUGCUUGUAUUAAACAAUAUCUUAAUCUAAGUAGUCCAGUGGCAUCAGUGUGUUUGGUUUUGGUGGAAAUAAAUAACAAUGGUGAAAAACACU